rnacentral:rRNA from 1 species
UAGAGUUUGAUCAUGGCUCAGAUUGAACGCUGGCGGCAGGCUUAACACAUGCAAGUCGAGCGGUAACAGGAAUAGCUUGCUAUUUGCUGACGAGCGGCGGACGGGUGAGUAAUGCUUGGGAAUAUGCCUUAUGGUGGGGGACAACAGUUGGAAACGACUGCUAAUACCGCAUAAUGUCUACGGACCAAAGGGGGGGAUCUUCGGACCUCUCGCCAUUUGAUUAGCCCAAGUGAGAUUAGCUAGUUGGUAAGGUAAUGGCUUACCAAGGCGACGAUCUCUAGCUGGUUUGAGAGGAUGAUCAGCCACACUGGGACUGAGACACGGCCCAGACUCCUACGGGAGGCAGCAGUGGGGAAUAUUGCACAAUGGGGGGAACCCUGAUGCAGCCAUGUCGCGUGUGUGAAGAAGGCCUUCGGGUUGUAAAGCACUUUCAGUUGUGAGGAAAGGUGUGUAGUUAAUAGCUGCAUACUGUGACGUUAACAACAGAAGAAGCACCGGCUAACUUCGUGCCAGCAGCCGCGGUAAUACGAGGGGUGCAAGCGUUAAUCGGAAUUACUGGGCGUAAAGCGUUCGUAGGCGGUUGAAUAAGCAAGAUGUGAAAGCCCAGGGCUCAACCUUGGAACUGCAUUUUGAACUGUUCGACUAGAGUACUGUAGAGGGGGGUAGAAUUUCA